rnacentral:rRNA from 1 species
UACGGAGGGGGCUAGCGUUGUUCGGAAUUACUGGGCGUAAAGCGCGCGUAGGCGGACCUGCAAGUCGGGGGUGAAAGCCCGAGGCUCAACCUCGGAACUGCCUUCGAUACUGCGGGUCUCGAGUCCGGGAGAGGUGAGUGGAAUUCCAGGUGUAGCGGUGAAAUGCGUAGAUAUCUGGAGGAACACCGGUGGCGAAGGCGGCAUCCUGGACCGAGAUUGACGCUGAGGCGCGAAAGCCAGGGGAGCAAACGGG